GAUGAACGCUGGCGGCGUGCCUAAUACAUGCAAGUCGAGCGAACGGACGAGAAGCUUGCUUUUCUGAUGUUAGCGGCGGACGGGUGAGUAACACGUGGAUAACCUACCUAUAAGACUGGGAUAACUUCGGGAAACCGGAGCCAAUACCGGAUAAUAUUUUGAACCGCAUGGUUCAAAAGUGAAAGACGGUCUUGCUGUCACUUAUAGAUGAAUCCGCGCUGCAUUAGCUAGUUGGUAAGGUAACGGCUUACCAAGGCAACGAUGCAUAGCCGACCUGAGAGGGUGAUCGGCCACACUGGAACUGAGACACGGUCCAGACUCCUACGGGAGGCAGCAGUAGGGAAUCUUCCGCAAUGGGCGGAAGCCUGACGGAGCAACGCCGCGUGAGUGAUGAAGGUCUUCGGAUCGUAAAACUCUGUUAUUAGGGAAGAACAUAUGUGUAAGUAACUGUGCACAUCUUGACGGUACCUAAUCAGAAAGCCACGGCUAACUACGUG
rnacentral:rRNA from 1 species